UGAACUGUUACCACUUGGCCAUGUUGCAGGAAAGAGGUGCUACACCCAAGCAGUUCAGAUGGUACUACUUGUCAUUUUCGUCACGGUGUCUACUUAAUAUUGUAUUAAUGUUGUGUGGAGAAAUUCUGCUUUGGUCACUGAUGGAGGUAAAUGGAAUAAUCCUUGUUGCCAUCUUAAGAAAUAUAUAAAAAUAAAUGCAUGCUGAUGUUAGGGUGAAAAGGGAUUUAAGACCAGAAUAACCUUUAGGGACAUUUCAUCAUUUUAUUUGCCUUUAUUCAUAAUAAUAAAUAAAUUUACAGCAUGAUAAUUAGAACUUGAGAACUCAAAAAACCCCUGAGCUUAUGGAAGAGGCCAUCUCACAACUGGUAUCUAUGUGAAAAGUUAAGUGCUGCUAAUGUGUGGAUUGGCAGAUUUAGUGACAAUUAUGGUAAAAAAUCUACCAUUUUUAUUGGAAAGCUAUGCCAUUACAAUGUUUUGGAAGCAAUGUCACCCAAUUGUAGACUGAAAAUUUGCUUUACACUUUUUAUUGACUAUCUUUACUAAAUAGUAGAGUGGUAUUUAAUACAGCAUAAACACAGGGAUAUACUUCACAAUAUUAUCUUCUAGAGGGUGUGAAAUAAAACACUCACCGACAGUAAUUACCACUUACUUUAAAAUUGUCAUACACAAGGGGGUGGGUUUAUUUGAAAGGAACUAUCAUAACUUCAUAACCAUUAACCUUGAAGGAUAUCCCUGUAAAGGCAAGCUGCCAAUCAGUGAAAACUAAUUGCACAUGAAAAGUCAAUCUUUCGCUAGCUUAUUACAUGCUUAUGUUUGGAUUUUGUUACAAGCUUUGACAAUUCAUUUUGAUUGUAAUUUUAACUUAUAUUAUAAUAAUAGCUAAGUAAUAGAAAAAUUUAUUCAUGAAUUAGGUGUUACCGUUAUUGAUUUGCACUUAGUGCACAAAGAAUUUCAACUUAUACUUCAAGUAUAUAACUUUUUGUGUAGCUGUUCCGUUUUGGCACCAAAAUACAGUCACAAAGAAUCUGGGGAUGAAUUAGCCUUUUUAUAUUUAAAUAGGUGCAACAAAUUUAAAUACUUGUCUAACAAUCAACCAAACACAUCUGCUAAAAGAACAUGUAAAGAUGUAUGGAUUACCCAACAGAAUUGCAAGUAGCAGUUUGACUGUUGCCGAUGUUACCGAUGGAAAAAGUGCAGAAAUAAAAUGGUUAUCUGAGUGUG